GCUUAGAAGCAGCCAUCAUUUAAAAAGUGCGUAACAGCUUACUGGUCGAGCAGGUCUGCGCCGAAAAUAAACGGGACUAAGGCACACACCGAAGCCACGGGUCGAUGUGAGACGCGUUCUCGCAUCGGCGGUAGAGGAGCGUUCCACACUAGGUUGAAGGUCGACCGUAAGGACGGCUGGACGACGUGGAAUUGAGAAUGCCGG
rnacentral:rRNA from 1 species